CCGGAAACUACCGAAAUCGACCGCGCAUGUUUCUUGGCGGAAUUUGUUUGAAAAAUGGCUACUGAACAGAAUUUACCCGAAAAAUGUUUAGUUUAUUGGAUUGGUGAGAAGCGGUGGUGGAUUGUAAGCACAUCUGCGUUGAUUAGAGAAUGACAUGCCUGGCGAUUGCAUACAUACCAAAUUCCAGGGAAAAUGGCAUCCUUCGUUGAUAAUUGCAAGUGGCCAUGUGCAUUUUAGUUUUAUUCUAAAAUGAUCUGAGAUAGACCAAAAUGAUCCACAGCUGACCAAAGUGACGACGCCACUGUUGCUCCUACAGACGACAGUAUAACAGUCACAUCUCAAUACACAUGGAAAGGAGGAGGGAUGGGAGAGAGUCACAAAGGCC
rnacentral:lncRNA from 1 species